rnacentral:rRNA from 1 species
UACGUAGGGUGCGAGCGUUAAUCGGAAUUACUGGGCGUAAAGCGUGCGCAGGCGGUUCGUUGUGUCGGUGGUGAAAUCCCCGGGCUUAACCUGGGAAUGGCCAUGGAAACUGGCGAACUGGAGUGUGGCAGAGGGGGGUGGAAUUCCGCGUGUAGCAGUGAAAUGCGUAGAGAUGCGGAGGAACACCGAUGGCGAAGGCAGCCCCCUGGGCUAGCACUGACGCUCAGGCACGAAAGCGUGGGGAACAAACAGG